rnacentral:pre_miRNA from 1 species
UAGUUUUGUCCUAAGGCAUACUUCUCUAACUUUGAACGGGUUUUUUAGAAAAAAUAUAUAACAUCGUCAAAACACAUUUCAUGGAAAAUAUAAAGAAACUAGUUUGACGUUGUAGAUGUUGGUGUAUUUUUCUACUAACUUGGUCAACAAUUAGAGAAGUUUGACUUAGGACAAAGCUAA